AUUGAACGCUGGCGGCAGGCCUAACACAUGCAAGUCGAGCGAGCGGCGGACGGGUGAGUAAUGUAUGGGGACUGCCCGAUAGAGGGGGAUAACUACUGGAAACGGUGGCUAAUACCGCAUACUAUCGGAUAACCCAUAUGGGAUUAGCUAGUAGGUGGGGGAAAGGCUCACCUAGGCGACGAUCCCUAGCUGGUCUGAGAGGAUGACGAGCCACACUGGAACUGAGACACGGCCACGACUCCACCGGAGGCAGCAGUGGGGAAUAUUGCACAAUGGGCGCAAGCCUGAUGCAGCCAUCCCGCGUGUAUGAAGAAGGCCUUAGGGUUGUAAAGUACUUUCAGCGAGGAGGCGUUACUCACAGAAGAAGCACCGGCUAACUCCGUGCCAGCAGCCGCGGUAAUAC
rnacentral:rRNA from 1 species